rnacentral:tRNA from 1 species
GGAGGGGUGGCUGAGCUGGUCGAAAGCGCCUCACUGCUAAUGAGGUAGGGGGCCAAAACCCCCUCGAGGGUUCGAAUCCCUCCCCCUCCG